ensembl:lncRNA
CGGCCGCCUUCCUCCCGGCAGCCUCUGCGCCCAAACGCACAGCAACUCCUGACAGGCGAGGAGUCGGUAUUGAAAACAAGUCAUGGUUUGGAUCACUGUGGCUUUGAGGAGCCUGGCAGAGAAGUGGCAGCCCGCUGCAGGAUUCCUGCCUGGGAACUCCCAGGGACAGAGGGGCCUGGCGGGCUGCAGCCGUGGGGUCGCAAGGAGCUGGACACGAAGGAGCGGCUAAACAACAAAGGCAACAACUCAGGAAACACACGUUACGUGUUUGGAGGCACGUGGACACUUUUGUUACCAGACUCUGCUCUUUUCAGCUGCUGUCUCACCUUUGGCCACUCAAAGGACGCCGGAUCCUGAAACCAGCCCCACAGUCUUCCUGAGGCAGCAUGAUGCUUGUGGAGUGGCUGGGAGUUCUUGACCAGAUGGUGAGGCAGAGGGCGGUGCUGGAUCUCACCAGGUGGGAGGGGCAGCUCUGUCCCGUCCUACAGGGCUGCCGGCAGACCCAGCUCCGCAGAGAGCCAAGUCCCCGCCCCGAGGCUAA